GUGCAGCAGGCGCGAAAACUCCGCAAUGCGCGAAAGCGCGACGGGGUCACCCCGAGUGCCGUCCGCUGAGGGCGGCUUUUGCUUGGUCUAACCAGCCGAGUGAAUAAGGGGAGGGCAAGUCUGGUGUCAGCCGCCGCGGUAAUACCAGCUCCUCGAGUGGUUGGGACGAUUAUUGGGUCUAAAGCGUCCGUAGCCGGCCGGAAAAGUCCUCCGUCAAAUCCGACGAUUCAAUCGUCGGGCUGCGGGGGAUACUCUUCGGCUAGGGGGCGAGGGAGGUCGGCGGUAGUCUCGGGGUAGGGGCGAAAUCCUAUAAUCCCGAGAGGACCACCAGUGGCGAAGGCGGCCGACUAAAGCGCGCCCGACGGUGAGGGACGAAAGCUGGGGGAGCGAACGGGAUUAGAUACCCCGGUAGUCC
rnacentral:rRNA from 1 species